rnacentral:snRNA from 1 species
ACUCAUACCUUGCAUAGGAAAUACCAGCUCAUAAAAGUGGGUUUCCCAGAGGGAGACUCAUCCAUUGCACUUUGGGUGUGCAGCUGAUCCUUGCAAUUUCCCCAAAUGUGGGAAACUCAAUUGCAUAGUUUGUGUUAAUGGGGAUUGCACUUGUGAUUGCUAA